GCAGGGGUUGACUGGGAACCCCACACUGAAACUGGUUUGGAGAAGUGCUGGGGAGUGUUUCCACUCUAUGAUACUGUGAGGGCCAUAGCUUUCCCUUCAGAGGUAUCGCUUAUCUGAGAAACCCACAGGGGAAAAAAAACCCUCCUGAUUCAGGAGAGAARCAAGUUUUGAAAUAAGAGCAUUUUCUGCAAGCUUAAAAUUCCGGAGUUUGACUCAGGUAAGUAGAAAUCGAGCACAACAUGGGUGAG
rnacentral:lncRNA from 1 species